UCAUCAACGUCAAAGGCAAAGGGGAGCUGCGGACUUACUUUGUUUGUACAGACACUGCCAAGUUUCAAGGGCUGGGGCUAAACUGAGGUGUCUGGUGGUUUGUCUCCUUCCCUGAGGGAGCCCUGCCUGCUGCAGAUGGCUGUGGCUUCUUUGGACCUGCACUACAGGAUGGCUGACUGUACAUCAGAUUUUUUGAAGCAGCUACUGUGCGGUACACAGAGGCUCUGUGCUUCAGCUACUUUAGGCUGGGUUCCUUUCCAGGGUGCUGAGGAAGAGACUUUAGGACAUGUAUCUUGGUGGCCAGUGAACAGCAUACCUGGGGAGGAAAACCUCUACUGGCUACAGGAGGCUCAGCCAGGCUGUCUAGCAUGGGCUGAUGCCCCCCCUUCCUCCUCCCAUCAAACCUACCAAGGGAUGCUAGUCUCUCAAUUAGGCGUUCUGGCAAAUGGAGUUCAAAACUGCGUAUCGGUGGGUAAUCUCAGAGAAAACGUCUGAUCGACACUUGUCACUUUUACCAUCUCUGGCUUAUGUUUGAAGUGGACGUUGUAAAUGGGAGUUUCAUCUUCAUACUGACUCUUAGAUGCUAGACAAAGAUCUCAUUUCUAGUGUAUUUUCUCUUGUUGACCAUGGACUACCCAUACAUAGGACUGCUGUUCAGUGUCAGCUUACAGGACCAGCUUGGCUGCAGGGACAGAGUUCUAAGGAAUGGGGCUCUUAGCAAGACAUAAGCAGCAGCAAAGCUUCAAAUUUGCAAUCAAGCAUUUUUUUUUUUUUUGAUGCAAGUCUUUUGGGACGAGGUUCAGGAAGUUCAGAGUCUAGAAAUGAGGUAUAUGAUGUUUCGGUUCUUCAGUCUGCACUUUAUUUUGAAGAGAGGGUCAGCCUAGGUUGGUCUUAAAUUUUUAACCUGUUUCAGUCUCUAGAGUGCUUCAAUUACAGAUGUGCACUACCAUCUCCAGCUUUUUUUUUGGUGGGAAAGCCUGUGUAGACAGAGUUUGGAAAGCUUGUGUACCCCUUUCCUUUUCUCCAGUCUUCUGAGCUGACUGCAGAGCCCCAAGUACAAUCUACUUGGCAGGAACACGUGUUCAGGACCCUGGCCUGGGAACUGAGCCCCUCAACAAAUGCCAAGUAGUUCUUAUGUAAAUGAGUCAAGGCAAACACCAGCUUUGUGAGACAGUGUCUUACUGUGCUUUAGCUCCAGACUGGUCCAAGUGAGAGAUGACCAAACACCCAUUAGGAAAUGACUUCACUACCACAGAGCAUCACUACAUCCUGGUAUCCUAGGGAGGAGACACCUCGGAACCCCAGCACCUACAGAUGACACAGGCGCUGCACACAGGGAGCCAGCCAGCCAGGUUUAUCUGUGACUUUAGGCUAAGUAGUCGGGUGUAGAAGGGAGAGAGGGAAAGGAGGGCUGAUUUUAGUUUGCACAAAGGAAUCUAGUAGUGGUCAGGGCUUCCCAGCAAGGCAUCCCUGGGGAGUUUGUGAAGUUCCUGGUGACGCCCCGCAAUGCAGUUCAGACAGCAGGAAUGAGCCUCCCCAAGGCUGACACAUUUCUACUCUUCCAACAGCCAAGUUACUUUUCCCUCCAGCAACAGAAAUCCUAGCUUGAGUUUAAAAGUAACUGGCUACCAUUCGCACACUGUUCUUUACUUUCAACUGAAGCACUGUGCUAGGAGUAUUUAAGUUAUUGUUCAGGUCAUAAGAGUGUAACUGACAAAAAAAAUCACUUGGGACUUAUGCACACAUACUUGGUUUUUACUUUCCAAGUAAUUUCUUCACAGGUGUCUUGUUUUAUCAUAGGAACUUUAAAAAAAAAAAUUCUUCUGUGGGUCAAGGAUUCGUUUCAGGAUCUCCACUGAGGCGGCCCUCACUGACUACAGACAGUAAUACCCCAAGUCUUCUGACUUAAAAACACUUCCUGACAAAAAUGAUUAUUACUGUGUACUUCAUGGAUAACAGGUCAAUGCUAAGUGGGUACAAGCAAAUAACUAUGGUUUGUUCUGUAUGUUUAAUAUUUAUAGAUUGGUAACAUUUGCCUCAGUGUUGUUUCAUUUUCAUAAAUCAGUGCCUGGUUCCUUUUUAUAGUUCAACCAACAAUUAAAAACCUGAAGCAAAGUGUUUCUGGGACUUGAGGAACGGACGGUGUUAAGUCAAUCUACUGGUGAAGAAUGGGUUAAAUGUCUGAACAGGGUCUCAUGUAAUCUUCAACUCCCAAUCUUCCUGUCUCCAUUCCUAAGUGCUAGGACUGCAGACAUGUGUCAUUCCAGCCAGUCCAUGUGAGUGCGUGUUGAUGUGAGUGCAGGCCUGCACGGAAGAGAUCAGAGGACAACCUUGGGUGUCAGUCCUCACUCGCCUUCUACUUUGAGACAGGGUUUCUUGCUUCUGAGAGCUUCAUAGCUGCCCUAUGAACUUCCAGAGAUUCUCUGGUCUCUACCUCCCACCUUCCUGUAGGGGUGCAGAGAUCAGAGACAUGUAUGUUACUGUAUCCAGCUUUGUACUGGGCUUCUGGUGAUCCAAACUCAGACUCUCAGGCUUGCACAAGCGCUUCAGACACAGAGCAGUGUGUAUGGUGCAGAGGAUGAGACUCCAGGCGUCACGAACUCUGGCCAAGCACUCUAUCAACAGACCUACACCCCUUAGCCUCUAAUCGGCAGACUAAAAUCAGAAUCUAAAAAGACCUUAAAAAAAAAGUUUAAAAAGACCU
rnacentral:lncRNA from 1 species